rnacentral:sRNA from 1 species
UACAACAUAUCGGCUUUAAGGGCGGUCGGCUAAUCUCCCGGAAGGGAGGUGAUGCCUGUGGAGGUAUACCAAACAUUGACGCUAAUGAUUUCCUUCGCGACUUUGGUGGUGUUAAUACUUUCGUUCCACAAAAAGAAAUAGACCGCCCUAGGUAAGGUAAACGGUCUAUUUCUGUACUGUUUCUCCGAAGCCGACCGCUCUUUCAGCGGCUGUUGUACGGGGGAUCGUGUUAGCCGCACGAUCC